UUAAUUCAGAAAAUGAAAAAGGAAAAUAUUAGAAAGUUUUUGGUGAAAGUCCCAUAUUUUUUUGGAUUAAAAAUAAAAUUAAUAUGAAUUAAUCAAAAUAAAAGGAUUAAAUGAAAAAUCAGAAAAAAAAAUAUAAAUAAAAAAACAAGGGCCAUCAGACCUCCCUCAUUAAUUGAGGUGACAUCUUUGAUGGCCAAGC
rnacentral:lncRNA from 1 species